AAGCUACUACGUUGUCCAAAAACACUCGCAGUUCCAGACAGACAGAGAGAGAGAGCCGGUGCGCCGUGGCAGCAAGCAUACAAAGAUGUACUGUGCAGGCCGGAGAAAAAGCAGAAAUAAUAGCUGACACACAGCCAUUGCUCCCUUGCGUUUCCUUUAUCCUUUGGCUCCUUUCCUUGCGUACUGCUACUGCGUCGUACAGAGCUACCAGUAAAGCGGCACACGAGCCUCCUCCGCUCUCCCUCUCUAUCUGUCCUCACUCACUCACUCACUCCACAGCUUAAUUGCUCUCAUUUCUCCUCCUCCGCGGUUUGGAGCCUGCUUCCUCUCUCGCUGCUCCUUUGGAAGCCCCAAGCCCGCCAGGGCGCCUGCAAGGAGAGACGACGCCAGCAAUGCCGGUGGUAGACAAGGGAGGCGAGGCCGCCGAGUUGCCCCCGGACAUCCGUGGGCUCGGCGGGGAGACCAGCAGGCCGUCGCAACUCCACGGUGGUUCUGGCUCGCCACCGAUGUAGUCCAAUCCAAGGCGUCCACCACCGCCAAGCGCCGCCGCGAGACUUGGGGCUCCAAGUCGGUGCGCGCGUCGUGGAGGUGGUGUGGAUGCGGCGGUGCGUGGAGGUGGAAGGACAAGGAUGCCAUGGUCAGUCGCAAGCGAAGCGAGCAGGGAGGGAAUGAAGCCGUACGGUCCGGGAGCUGCUGUCGUCGUAUACAUGCAUGCAUAAAUACAUAUAUAUAUUUUUUCGUGUACCAGUAAUUGGGUAACUGGUUAAUUGUUAGCAACGGUCCAUUUGAGGCUAUGGUUUCUGUUGCAAUUGCAAUGCAAUCCAUUCACUCGUGCUCUA